rnacentral:lncRNA from 1 species
AUUAAAAGACAAAGAUAGAAGAAGAUAAGAAGAUAUAAUCUAUUGUCUUCAAAUUUGAAGCUCCCUCCUUGCUCCUACUUUGAAUCUUCAAUGGUCUCCAAGUUGCUUCAAUCUCCAAAUCUCAUAAGAACUAGUGUUUUCUCAUAUUAUACUCUAUAUAAUCUAAUGGAAUCUGUAGCGUCCCCGAAAUUCGGGUCCCGAUUAGCCGCAGAUCCGAUUCGCUAUUUCUACAACUGUUUGCGGAAGAUAUAAACAUAAAUUAUUUAUACAUUAAACUUUACACACAUUUCCCCAGAAUCUAGUAACCUUAACUUAUACACACUCGUGAACUGUCUAACACAUGACAAUACUAUUCUUCAACAUAAUUUACAACUUAACUUCACAUUUUAUCCUAAGCUGAACUUGGCAUUAUCCUUUUUCCUGUAUCUGGCCGUAUUCGCCUUAUCUGCAAUGUUUUAUCAUGAUAUAGCAAGGGUGAGCAUGAAAGUUGCCCAGCAAGUUUAAAAAAAAAAGGUAAAGAUAUAUCAUGAUUGAAAGAGUUUGAAUAAUAAGCUGGCUAUCCUUCACAAUGUAGUUGUGAAUUAGCAUGAACAAAAUUUCAAAGCUGAAUGAACAUUGAAAAUGAACAUAACAAUUAUAUCUGAACUGACUGGUAAUGAAGGUGAUCAGCCUUUCAUACCUGAUGAAUACAUGCAAUAUGUACAGAGUACAAUUCAUAAGCAUAUCUGUCUGAAACCACUCUUAAAAGAGUUUAAGUAAAAAGAACUUGAAAAACUUGCCUGAACCGUUGAUUACCGUAACGCAAU